rnacentral:rRNA from 1 species
GACGAACGCUGGCGGCGUGCCUAAUACAUGCAAGUCGAACGCAGUUGGGACGGGUGAGUAACACGUGGGUAACCUCCCAUCAGAGGGGAUAACACUUGGAAACAGGUGCUAAACCGAUACUGAUGGAUGGACCCGCGGUGCAUUAGCUCGUUGGUGAAGUAACGGAUCACCAAGGCCACGAUGCAUAGCCGAACUGGGAGGUUGAUCGGCCACAAAGGGACGGAGACACGGACCAAACUCCUACGCGAGGCAGCAGUAGGGAAUCUUCGGCUAUGGAAGGAAGUCUGACCGAGCAACGCCGCGUGAGUGAAGAAGGUUUUCGGAUCGUAAAACUCUGUUGUUAGAGGUGCGGUAUCUAACCAGAAAGCCACGGCUAGCUACGUGCCAGCAGACGCGGUAAUAC